GCGUCGGUGGUGCAACGGUCAGAAUUCGCUCUCGGAGAGAGUGAGAUCUGGGUUCAAAUCCCGGCUGACGCA